AUACGUAAGUGGCGAGCGUUAUCCGGAUUUACUGGGCAUAAAGAGCACGUAGGCGGUAGUUUAAGUCAGAUGUUAAAUCCCACAGCCUAACUGUGGUACGCAUUUGAUACUGAAUUACUAGAGAUCAGGAGAGGGAAGCGGAACUCACGGUGUAGCGGUGAAAUGCGUAGAUAUCGUGAGGAACACCAGUGGCGAAGGCGGCUUCCUGGACUGAUUCUGACGUUGAGGUGCGAAAGCGUGGGGAGCGAACGGGAUUAGAAACCCCAGUAGUCC
rnacentral:rRNA from 1 species